UUACCCUCUCAGAUAGAAGACACAGUUGAACGCUAACUUUGAAAUCCAUUACCCGCUGCUGUGCGCAUGCUAAGGUUUUGGCUCGUGACCAGACAGACUGAACAAAGACGAAGCAGAAAGGAUGGAGAGAAAGGCGUAUACACACACUCAGACGCUAAGCCCAACACUCCAGAGCAAACUUUUUCGGUCACAGUUCAAGAGGAACAGCUGGCAAAACGAUAUCUGGAACAACGGUCUGAUUUACCAUCCAAAUCUCACAUUUCGCAUUCUGUCACCUCCUGCCAUCUCUCGUACGAUCCAGACUGAGCCGAGCCUGUCUGUGUUGACAAGAAGAGUGGAAAAGAGCACUGAAAGCUCUACUUAAGGAAGGGUGGCGCGGCUGUACGCACCCCCUCGUCUCAACGCUGUGAACUCGCUGUGGUCCUACAGGCACCGCGGGCCGACACUCGAGGCCUGGACUUUGACAAGCUGGUGGCAGAGAUCGCUGGAUCUUUGAAUGAGACCUGAGAAAAGCCAGCGCUGCUCUGGGAUGAACAUGGGAUUUGUGGGAUGUGUUUGUAGGAAAGCUCAGCAAAAGCAGAAGAGACAGCUGUUCAAUAACACACUGUAAAGUAUGGAAGUCCAAGAUCUUUAUGCGCAAUCAGUCAAACAGCUCAGCUCCUAAACCGACCCCCAUACGCACAAGAGCAGAGCAUCACGCGCCUCGUCCAGAGAUAAACAACCAGAGAACGCCAGGAGGAUCGGCUUCAUCUUCACCAGCAUCACAGGAGCCAUCAUGAAGCUCCACUGACCGACAGCUGGGCUCAUCACCCAGAACGUGUUUGAGAUUAGGUGCAGUUGAGCGCAUGACGGAUAAUUGUGGACCCUGGAUGUGUGGUUGUGCUUCCUUCUCCUCUCCACCAAUCGGAGUGUCUGGCUCCUGCUGUGGGAGGGGCCUUGGCGGAUAAAAGGAUCACCUGUGGCCGGUUAUGGAGAGAGCAUGUCUGAGACUCCUAGCCAAAGUCUGCCGUAGUCCAAUUGUGACGAUGUAGUCAGUACCAUGUCUCUCUUGUGUUCCGUCUCUUUCCCCUUUCCAGCGCGGAGCGUGGGCAGGCAGGUUGGGCGCGCCUAUACAUUGGCAUUCCUUAUAAUUGCUGGACUGUCUAGACACACUUGGUAAGGGGCGAGUGCCCCCCGCUGUGUUUUGGGACAGGGUUUCUUUGUUCAUUUCUUUGUGGCUGGUUGGACUUUAUUAGUUAUUGUUUUGCAUAUUGAAUGCUUUGUUAUUCUUUGUCUUUUUUCAUUUAUAUUUAGUUUGUUUUACUUUACCUGUUCUCGUAGGUGAUGCUCCUGUUAUGUGCAGUUACCAGUGGGAAGCAAAGUGAAAGUUUUUCACACCUGCUGUGUGAACCAAGCCUGAAAAACACGCUUCUGUUGUUUCCACUGUGUGCUGCUGCAAGCAGGUCAGGGGGAUAUCAACAGCAGGUACCACCCUCUCAACUACGUCUUUGAAACCGUCUGUAUUAGUGUUACAAAUAGCUUCAUUUUUUCCCCCAAAGAUUUUGUGCCUUUACUCUGUGCUUACUUUGCUAUUGUUUAGUUUGUGCACCCCUGGUAAAGGACUAGUAAAGGACUGGUAAAGGACUGGUAAAGGACUAGUAAAGGACUGGUAAAGGACUGGUAAAGGACUGGUAAAGGACUGGUAAAGAACUGGUAAAGGACUGGUAAAGGACUAGUAAAGGACUGGUAAAGGACUGGUAAAGGACUAGUAAAGGACUAGUAAAGGAAUGGUAAAGGACUGGUAAAGGACUAGUAAAGGACUGGUAAAGGACUGGUAAAGGACUAGUAAAGGACUGGUAAAGGACUGGUAAAGGACUGGUAAAGGACUAGUAAAUGACUGGUAAAGGACUAGUAAAGGACUGGUAAAGGACUGGUAAAGGACUGGUAAAGGACUGGUAAAUGACUGGUAAAGGACUAGUAAAGGACUGGUAAAGGACUGGUAAAGGACUAGUAAAGGACUGGUAAAGGACUGGUAAAGGACUGGUAAAGGACUAGUAAAGGACUGGUAAAGGAAUGGUAAAGGACUGGUAAAGGACUAGUAAAGGACUGGUAAAGGACUGGUAAAGGACUGGUAAAGGACUGGUAAAGGACUAGUAAAGGACUGGUAAAGGACUGGUAAAGGACUAGUAAAGGACUGGUAAAGGACUAGUAAAGGACUGGUAAAGGACUGGUAAAGGACUAGUAAAUGACUGGUAAAGGACUGGUAAAGGACUGGUAAAGGACUAGUAAAGGACUGGUAAAGGACUGGUAAAGGACUGGUAAAGGACUAGUAAAGGACUGGUAAAGGACUGGUAAAGGACUGGUAAAGGACUAGUAAAGGACUGGUAAAGGACUGGUAAAGGACUGGUAAAGGACUAGUAAAGGACUGGUAAAGGACUGGUAAAGGACUAGUAAAGGACUGGUAAAGGACUGGUAAAGGACUAGUAAAGGACUGGUAAAGGACUAGUAAAGGACUGGUAAAGGACUGGUAAAGGACUAGUAAAGGACUAGUAAAUGACUGGUAAAGGACUAGUAAAGGACUGGUAAAGGACUGGUAAAGGACUUGUUUUGUUGAUUUUAUAAGAAAAUGACUGAGCACAUCCUCAACAGAGAGCACACUGCACAUUUUACAGUACAGUUACUGCUUAUUUACAGAAUUUUACAGUUUACAGCCGUUGUUGACCAUUCUGGCAGUGGUCACGGGAAAACGUCUAGGUGGAUCACUCAAUGUGGCCGGGCAGGGGAGGUACCACCUCUGCUUAGCUUGAGAAACUGAUCCGCUUCCUAUGCACUGCUUGUCCAGUUUGAGUGUGUUACAGUGUUGAGUGUGGGGACUUUACGUAUUGCAAACUCAAACAGUCAAAUUUGAUGCCUUGUCUCUGCUGCUCUGUUAUACUGUAAUCUGUGGUCAGCCACUCUUUACAGAACUGACUCUGUGUUUUCUUCCUUUCUCUGCCGAGUUGAUCAGCUGCCCAUCCUGUGCGUCUCAUGCUGUUGGCCCUUCUGCCCUGAUCGGGUGCCACAGCUGACCAGCCCUUGGCUUGACCACCACCGCUGCUGCUGCUGCUGCUGCUGCAUCAUCAUAAACAAAUCAAAUCAGCCACUGCUUUCUUUUUAUU